rnacentral:rRNA from 1 species
AUAACAGCUGGAAACGGCUGCUAAUACCGCAUAAGCGCACAGAGCUGCAUGGCUCGGUGUGAAAAACUCCGGUGGUAUGGGAUGGGCCCGCGUCUGAUUAGGCAGUUGGCGGGGUAACGGCCCACCAAACCGACGAUCAGUAGCCGGCCUGAGAGGGCGACCGGCCACAUUGGGACUGAGACACGGCCCAAACUCCUACGGGAGGCAGCAGUGGGGAAUAUUGCACAAUGGGGGAAACCCUGAUGCAGCGACGCCGCGUGAGCGAAGAAGUAUUUCGGUAUGUAAAGCUCUAUCAGCAGGGAAGAUAAUGACGGUACCUGACUAAGAAGCCCCGGCUAACUACGUGCCAGCAGCCGCGGUAAUACGUAGGGGGCAAGCGUUAUCCGGAUUUACUGGGUGUAAAGGGAGCGUAGACGGCAAGGCAAGUCUGAUGUGAAAACCCAGGGCCUAACCCUGGGACUGCAUUGGAAACUGUCUGGCUCGAGUGCCGGAGAGGUAAGCGGAAUUCCUAGUGUAGCGGUGAAAUGCGUAGAUAUUAGGAAGAACACCAGUGGCGAAGGCGGCUUACUGGACGGUAACUGACGUUGAGGCUCGAAAGCGUGGGGAGCAAACAGGAUUAGAUACCCUGGUAGUCCACGCCGU